CCUCCUGCUGCAUCCGCCCCCGCUUGACGCCGCCCGCGCCGGGGGGCCGGUCGUUGGAGGCUCGGGUCCCCGACAUGCUGGCUCGGCUCGUCCGCUGCGCUGGGCUGCCCGGGAGCCCGCCGCGGCCCGCGUGCCCGCGCCAUUAAAUGCCGCGGCCCGGGGCGGGGGGCGGGCCGGGGGCGGGUCCGGGCGCUCGCGGUGACGCGCCUCGGUGACCUGCGGCCCUGCGGCUGCAACUACCGCCCCUUGGUCGCCGCUGCCCGGGAGCGCGACGGGUGGUGGGUAUGGCGGAGGCGCACCGACACACAGCAGUGGACGCCGGUGUCCCGCGCGCGACCCCCGCAGUUUCAGGAGCUGUUUGAGAACCUCCACGUCAAACUUGGUGGUGUCCCCAGCCCGGAUCAUGGCGGUGACCUCCUCGUUGGAGCUGAAGUGGUGAGGGGAGGGGGUCACGUGACGAUGAGGGACCAGAGGGACCUCAAAGGAAGCCUCUGCUUUGCUCCGGCCCUGCCCGACACCAAACCACAUGAAACUGAGCCCGAGCAGGACCCAGGCUGCCCUGGCCAUGCAAGAGUGGGCAAAUGCAGGUGCACCACCCCUCCCCAGCACCUCUCGUGUGGCACCAGCCUUCGGGCUCCGCAGCCUCACCUCGGGCCACGUUGGACGGAAGUUUCUGCCAGUUCAGUUUCUUCAUGCGCAGUGUGGGUUGACCCCUCUGCCUGCCUGGCUCACCCCGCUGCUCACCAUCACUGGCCAGGAGCACGGCCCGGUUCACCAGGCUCUCCAGGGCCUCCCAGAGCAGCUGUCCUGAGCGGCUGGUGGGCUCCAGGUGCAGGAGGCCUUGUAGCACUGACAGCAGCUGGGCUGACACCGGAGAGCAGCUCACCUGAGCGGGGCAGGCCGACAAAGGGCAGGUCAGUGGCAGUGCCCUCCUCUGCCUGUCUGCCAAGGGCGUCCGUCCCCACUGACCCCUUCACAUAGCUGAAGGCCUGGUGACGAGCAACUCAGAGACAGGGUUCUUUGUGUUACUGGUGACUCUGGGGACUGUUUGGUGCAUUAUGGGAUAUUAAAUGGCAUCCAUGGUUUUCACCCAUUUGAUGCCAGGAGCA